GAUGAAGAACGUAGCGAAAUGCGAUAAGCAGUGUGAAUUGCAGAAUUCAGUGAAUCAUCGAAUCUUUGAACGCACAUUGCGCCCCUUGGUAUUCCAUGGGGCAUGCCUGUUCGAGCGUCAUUUGUACCUUCAAGCUUUGCUUGGUGUUGGGUGUUUGUCCCGAGGGACUCGCCUUAAAGUAAUUGGCAGCCAGUGUUUGGUUUUGAAGCGCAGCACAAGUCGCGAUUCAAGGCUACACGCCCGCUUCCACAAGCCUUUUUUCACUUUUGACCUCGGAUCAGGUAGGGAUACCCGCUGAACUUAAGCAUAUCAAUAAGCGGAGGA
rnacentral:misc_RNA from 1 species